rnacentral:pre_miRNA from 1 species
UUGACAGAAGAGAGUGAGCACACAGCGGCGACCGCACCGCCUCGAUGCCGUCGCUGCUGCGUGCUCACUACUCUCUCUGUCAU